rnacentral:rRNA from 1 species
UAUCUGGGGGAUAGCCUUUCGAAAGGAAGAUUAAUACCCCAUAAUAUAAUGAUUGGCAUCAAUUAUUAUUGAAAACUCCGGUGGAUAGAGAUGGGCACGCGCAAGAUUAGAUAGUUGGUGAGGUAACGGCUCACCAAGUCUGUGAUCUUUAGGGGUCCUGAGAGGGAGAUCCCCCACACUGGUACUGAGACACGGACCAGACUCCUACCGGAGGCAGCAAUGAGGAAUAUUGGACAAUGGGUGAGAGCCUGAUCCAGCCAUCCCGCGUGAAGGAUGACGGUCCUAUGGAUUGUAAACUUCUUUUGUACAGGGAUAAACCUACUCUCGUGAGGGUAGCUGAAGGUACUGUACGAAUAAUCACCGGCUAACUCCGUGCCAGCAGCCGCGGUAAUACAGAGGGUGCAAGCGUUAUCCGGAUUUAUUGGGUUUAAAGGGUCCGUAAGCGGACCCGUAAGUCAGUGGUGAAAUCUCAUAACUCAACUAUGAAACUGCCAUUGAUACUGCGGGUCUUGAAUAAAUUUGAAGUGGCUGGAAUAAGUAGUGUAACGGUGAAAUGCAUAGAUAUUACUUAGAACACCAAUUGCGAAGGCAGGUCACUAAGAUUUAACUGACGCUGAUGGACGAAAGCGUGGGUAGCGAACAGGAUUAGAU